rnacentral:rRNA from 1 species
CAGCAGCCGCGGUAAUACGUAGGUGGCAAGCGUUAUCCGGAAUUAUUGGGCGUAAAGCGCGCGCAGGUGGUUUCUUAAGUCUGAUGUGAAAGCCCACGGCUCAACCGUGGAGGGUCAUUGGAAACUGGGAGACUUGAGUGCAGAAGAGGAAAGUGGAAUUCCAUGUGUAGCGGUGAAAUGCGUAGAGAUAUGGAGGAACACCAGUGGCGAAGGCGACUUUCUGGUGUGUAACUGACACUGAGGCGCCAGCUGGGGAGCAAACAGGAUUAGAUACCCCUGGUAGUCCACGCCGCAAACGAUGAGUGCUAAGUGUUAGAGGGUUUCCGCCCUUUAGUGCUGAAGUUAACGCAUUAAGCACUCCGCCUGGGGAGUACGGCCGCAAGGCUGAAACUCAAAGGAAUUGACGGG